rnacentral:lncRNA from 1 species
CACAACCUAUUGAUAUUCACUCCAUCACAGGACUUGGAACAGUUUUGCUAGCAGAAAAUACGACUCUCUUCUAUGCUGUGGUAAAAUAGUACAACCACAAGGCCAGGAUCCAUAGAAUGUGACCAGCUGUUUCAGUGGUUUUCUGUUACUAUUUGUGAAGUCUUCAUUCUUGUCAUCUCUAGCAGAAGAGUGGUGCCAGUUGCCAGAGGUUUGAGGAAAAAGAAGUCAUGGGAGAAUUUACAUUUCAGAAAAUUCCAUUCAUUGACUUAAUUAUUUCUGGGAAUUCAGAAAAGACCACCAUGAUCCUUUAGCCGCGAAAACACUUGGGCCAGUUUUGGAAAUGCUAGAAUCCUGCAGGAGAAGCUUUUGAGAAAUUCAGUACUGUGCAGUGUUGUAACCCGAAUACUUUGCUGGAGAAAGGGUUACUGAGAGAUCAUAUUCACAAAUCAACGUGCAAUAGUGAAAAAAGAUGGCAACACUGAAGAACCUUACUGAAUAACCCAGUAUGGACCACGUAUUGUAAUAGGCACUUAAUUUCUCUCAAUCCUUUCGAUAUCUCCUUGAAAUAGACAGGGUCUCGCUCUGUCACCCAGGCUGGAGUGCAAUGAUGUGAUCUCGGCUCACUGCAACCUCCACCUCUGGGGUUCAAGAGAUUCUCCUGCCUCAGCCUCUCAAGUAGCUGGGAUUACAGCGAAGGUCAUAUGAUAGCUGCUUAAUAAAAUUUGCUGAUCGAAUGAAGGAGCUAAUGAAUUCAAUAAAAUCAGGGAAGGCUUCUUGGAGGAGGAGCACCUUGCUCCAGUGGGCUGAGAAGACAUUCCAUGAGACCAGAGCAAGGAGAGGAGUGGCCUGGCAGCUGAAGCCAGAGACAGACUUGAACCUGGAGUAGAGACAGCAUUUUACCAUGUUAUCCAGGCUAGUCUCAAACUCCUAGCCUCAAAUGAUCUGCCUGCCUCGGCCUUCCAGAGUGCUGGGAUUACAGGCUUGAGCCACUGCGCCUGGCUA